CGAGCCGGCCGGGCGGUCGCGUCGGGGCCCUUCGGGGUCCCGCCGAGGAACGUCCGGGCUCCACAGGGCAGGGUGGUGGGUAACACCCACCCGGGGUGACCCGCGGGAAAGUGCCACAGAAAGCAGACCGCCGGGGCCGUGAGGCUCCCGGUAAGGGUGAAACGGUGGUGUAAGAGACCACCAGCGUCCGGGGUGACCCGGACGGCUCGGUAAACCCCACCCGGAGCAAGGUCAAGAGGGGCUGUCUCCGGACGGCCCUGCGCGGACGUUCGAGGGCUGCCCGCCCGAGUCCGCGGGUGGACCGCACGAGGCCGGCGGCAACGCCGGUCCCAGAUGGAUGGCCGCCUCCCCGCGGGCCGCAAGGCCCCCGGGAGACAGAACCCGGCGUACAGGCCGACUCGUCCG
rfam:Streptomyces fradiae strain ATCC 19609 contig0006, whole genome shotgun sequence.